rnacentral:tRNA from 1 species
GGCAUGGCUCAAUUGGUAGAGCAGCUGACUUGUAAUCAGCAGGUUGUAGGUUCAAGUCCUAUUGCCAGCUCCA